CCUUUGGAUGUUUUCACAUCCACACCACACCUUAAGACAAGAUGACU
rfam:Poecilia formosa, whole genome shotgun sequence.